UGGGGAAUAUUGGACAAUGGGCGCAAGCCUGAUCCAGCCAUGCCGCGUGGAUGAUGAAGGCCUUAGGGUUGUAAAAUCCUUUCGUUGGGGACGAUAAUGACGGUACCCAAAGAAGAAGCUCCGGCUAACUUCGUGCCAGCAGCCGCGGUAAUACGAAGGGGGCUAGCGUUGUUCGGAUUUACUGGGCGUAAAGCGCGUGUAGGCGGACUUGUAAGUUGGGGGUGAAAUCCCGAGGCUCAACCUCGGAACUGCCUCCAAAACUACAAAUCUGGACCUAAGUAGAGGCAAGUGGAAUUGCGAGUGUAGAGGUGAAAUUCGUAGAUAUUCGCAGGAACACCAGUGGCGAAGGCGACUUGCUGGACUUAUGGUGACGCUGAGACGCGAAAGCGUGGGGAGCAAACAGGAUUAGAUACCCCCGUAGUCCCUGAGCGGGCUGGCAAGGCGCAU
rnacentral:rRNA from 1 species